rnacentral:rRNA from 1 species
GAUGAACGCUGGCGGCGUGCCUAAUACAUGCAAGUCGAACGAGCGGAGUCCAGCUUGCUGGAUGGAGCUAGUGGCGAACGGGUGAGUAAUACGUAAGCAACCUGCCUACACGGACUGGGAUAACACCUGGAAACGGGCGCUAAUACCGGAUAGGUAACGGAAGGGCAUCCUUCUGUUAUUAAAGGUUUGAAACACAAGUAGAUGGGCUUACGGUGCAUUAGCUAGUUGGUGAGGUAACGGCCCACCAAGGCGAUGAUGCAUAGCCGGCCUGAGAGGGUGAACGGCCACAUUGGGACUGAGACACGGCCCAG